rnacentral:lncRNA from 1 species
AAAUUCACAAAAAUACUUUCUUCAAGUGUAUUUAAAGUUCAUAGAAAUAAGAAGGUGUGGUAUAUAUGAGACAGAGUGUCAAUGAUACAACUCUCCAUGAGGUCACAAUGUGUAAAAAAUAAACAGUUGUACUUAUUAGGUCUAAGUACGGACCUCAACCUCGGAGCCUUUGCUCACAUCGAACAACAGUCUAUAAAGAGCCCAAAAUGACUAGUAUAAAACACGAUCUUUUAAGGCGUUUCAGAAGAAAAAAAUAAUGGGCCAAACAUAUGGAAUAGAGAAAAAUGAACCAAAGGAUUUAAAAUACUAAAGAAUUUGGUGUAAUAUCUAACAAAGCAAGGAGACAAUGGGCAGAAUGAUUAAAAAAAAGAAAGAAAAAAUGCCUAAAAAAAGAAUAAAGAAAUAAAUACCAACCACUCCAGACCCUCGUGUAUUAAGAAGGUACACCUGUUGAGGGUCUAUUCAUUAAAAUUUGAAUGCCCAUUCAUUUACUGAUUUCGAUUGUUCACUACACACACAUCUAUUCAUUCUCUUACAAUUUUUAGUCCUAUUUUGUAUUUAAUAAUCCUUUAUUUAAAAACAAGUUGUGAAAAAAAAUAACACCUUGCGUACAUAUCAUAGGCCUUUGGCUGAAUAUUUUCGUUCAAAAUUAGGAAAAAAAUGGAAUCCCGCUAACAUAUGUUUAACCCCGCC